rnacentral:rRNA from 1 species
GAUGAAUGCUGGCGGCGUGCCUAACACAUGCAAGUCGAGCGGCAGCGCAGUCUUCGGACUGGCGGCGAGCGGCGGACGGCUGAGUAACGCGUGGGAACGUACCCCAAAGUGAGGAAUAACUGCCCGAAAGGGUAGCUAAUGCCGCAUAUGGUCUUCGGAUUAAAGGAUUUAUCCGCUUUGGGAACGGCCUGCGUGCGAUUAGAUUGUUGGUGAGGUAAUGGCUCACCAAGUCGACGAUCGUUAACUGGUCUGAGAGGAUGAUCAGUCAGACUGGAACUGAGACACGGUCCAGACUCCUACGGGAGGCAGCAGUGAGGAAUCUUCCACAAUGGGCGAAAGCCUGAUGGAGCAACGCCGCGUGCAGGAUGAAGGCCUUCGGGUCGUAAACUGCUUUUAUAAGUGAAGAAUAUGACGGUAACUUAUGAAUAAGCACCGGCUAACUACGUGCCAGCCGCCGCAGUA